GACGAACGCUGGCGGCGUGCUUAACACAUGCAAGUCGAACGAUGAUGCUGGAGCUUGCUCCAGUUGAUUAGUGCCGAACGGGUGAGUAACACGUGAGCAAUCUGCCCUUGACUCUGGGAUAACUGCAGGAAACUGUAGCUAAUACCGGAUACUUUCACCGGAAGGCAUCUUUUGGUGAUGAAAGAAUUUCGGUCAGGGAUGAGCUCGCGGCCUAUCAGCUUGUUGGUGAGGUAACGGCUCACCAAGGCGACGACGGGUAACCGGCCUGAGAGGGUGACCGGUAACACUGGGACAGGUACACGGCCCAGACUCCUACGGGAGGCAGCAGUUGGGAAUAUUGCACAAUGGGCGCAAGCCUGAUGCAGCCACGCCGCGUGAGGGAUGAAGGCCUUCGGGUUGUAAACCUCUUUUAGCAGGGAAGAAGCGAAAGUGACGGUACCUGCAGAAAAAGCACCGGCUAACUACGUGCCAGCCGCCGCCGUAA
rnacentral:rRNA from 1 species